rnacentral:tRNA from 1 species
AACUUAGAAGCUUUUUAGAAGCAUUAGAUUUUUGAUCUAAAGAAGGGGAAUUUACCUUAAGUUU